GUUGCUUCUAAAUCACUUGAAUCGAGUGACUGCAUAUCUGUUGUUCACUUUGUAUACGGAAGCAUAAAUUAAUUUCCCGGAUUAAACAGCAUGAUGAUUAUUGUGGCAUUGUGUUACCUGUCUCCUAAUAAAUUA